GGUGGAUAUACGGAUUGAACAGAGAUGUU
rnacentral:piRNA from 1 species